rnacentral:rRNA from 1 species
UGGGGAAUUUUGGACAAUGGGCGCAAGCCUGAUCCAGCCAUGCCGCGUGCGGGAAGAAGGCCUUCGGGUUGUAAACCGCUUUUGUCAGGGAAGAAAUCUUCUGAGUUAAUACCUCGGGGAGGAUGACGGUACCUGAAGAAUAAGCACCGGCUAACUACGUGCCAGCAGCCGCGGUAAUACGUAGGGUGCAAGCGUUAAUCGGAAUUACUGGGCGUAAAGCGUGCGCAGGCGGUUUUGUAAGACAGAGGUGAAAUCCCCGGGCUCAACCUGGGAACUGCCUUUGUGACUGCAAGGCUUGAGUGCGGCAGAGGGGGGAUGGAAAUUCCGCGUGUAGCAGUGAAAAUUGCGUAGAUAUGCGGAGGAACACCGAUGGCGAAGGCAAUCCCCUGGGCCUGCACUGACGCUCAUGCACAAAGCGUGGGGAGCAAACAGGAUUA